AAUGGGUCAGCGACUUAUAUUCUGUAGCAAGGUUAACCGAAUAGGGGAGCCGAAGGGAAACCGAGUCUUAACUGGGCGUUAAGUUGCAGGGUAUAGACCCGAAACCCGGUGAUCUAGCCAUGGGCAGGUUGAAGGUUGGGUAACACUAACUGGAGGACCGAACCGACUAAUGUUGAAAAAUUAGCGGAUGACUUGUGGCUGGGGGUGAAAGGCCAAUCAAACCGGGAGAUAGCUGGUUCUCCCCGAAAGCUAUUUAGGUAGCGCCUCGUGAAUUCAUCUCCGGGGGUAGAGCACUGUUUCGGCAAGGGGGUCAUCCCGACUUACCAACCCGAUGCAAACUGCGAAUACCGGAGAAUGUUAUCACGGGAGACACACGG
rnacentral:rRNA from 1 species